rnacentral:rRNA from 1 species
GAUCAUGGCUCAGGAUGAACGCUGGCGGCGUGCCUAACACAUGCAAGUCGAACGAAGCAAUCAGAAUGAAGUUUUCGGAUGGAUUUCUGAUUGACUGAGUGGCGGACGGGUGAGUAACGCGUGGAUAACCUGCCUCACACUGGGGGAUAACAGUUAGAAAUGGCUGCUAAUACCGCAUAAGCGCACAGUACCGCAUGGUACGGUGUGAAAAACUCCGGU